UACGUAGGUGGCAAGCGUUGUCCGGAUUUACUGGGCGUAAAGAGCGCGCAGGCGGUCGUUCAAGUCGCGUGUGAAAGCCCCCGGCUCAACUGGGGAGGGUCACGCGAUACUGAUCGACUCGAAGGCAGGAGAGGGUAGUGGAAUUCUCGGUGUAGCAGUGAAAUGCGUAGAUAUCGAGAGGAACACCAGUGGCGAAGGCGGCUACCUGGAUAAUUGCUGACGCUCAGGCACGAAAGCGUGGGGAGCAAAAGGG
rnacentral:rRNA from 1 species